rnacentral:tRNA from 9 species
GGCGGAUGUAGCCAAGUGGAUCAAGGCAGUGGAUUGUGAAUCCACCAUGCGC